CUGGUCCUUCUGAAUGGUGGCGCUGAUUCCCGCCAAAUUUCAAAGGCCCAGUCACCAUUAGACGGUGCAGAGAGUGAUAUUUAAGUUGAGACCCGAGCAACUAAGAGGAAUCAGCCAUGAGAAGAUCCGAGGGGGAGCAAUCCAAACGGAGGGAAAAGCAACCACAAAGUCCCUAGAGCAUGAAGAAACUGGGUGUUUUGAAGCUGCAGAAAAGAAAGCCAGCGUGACUGGGGCAUGAGUUACUGGGGAAACCGCUGAAGAUACGACAAUAACGGCGGAGCAGCACCGCAACGUGUACGGGGUGCUUAUGGGGUGGCGGGGAGCCCAGCGGAGCCCCCCGGGUGG